AUCCAAGACCUCCUGGACAUCUUCAUCGGUCCAGCAGGAUGGGACACCAUGAACGUUCCGUUGCUCGAUGCUCUCUGCAUCCAGGACAUCUGGAAGACACAGAGGUGCCACCUCAGCUGCAUACAGGACCCGCCGGGUGUGCAGCUGUGCUGAGUGGGGUCAGCCUGCCGGUUUACCGCUGUGUCAGGGGUUCCACGUCGUUCAGGUCCUUCCACCUCUACCUCAACUGGUUCAUCCCAGGGACGCGUGCCAGCAACAUGCACUUCCUGGCGUUCCUGGUUGAUGGACUAGUCAGGUGGAAUGAGGACCAAGCAGCAGCAGCUUAGGAACAAAAGGUGUCUCUCCGCUCCUACUGUGGCCACCUCAAGCACAUCCUUAAUCAGAAGAGUCAACGGGUGCUUAGCCUUGACAGGUUUAAGGACUUCACUCAGCCUGCUCUGUACACGGAGGAGCUCAUCUGGGUGGAGUGCCUGUACCAGAAGACUGGGAGAGUGCUUGAGAAUGUCAACUUGAUUCCUAACACUCCGGACAAGACUACUGCCAUUGAGGAGCUCGAGGAAGUAGACGAGGGUAUCGAGAAGGAUGUGGAGGACGCCACAGUCUAUGGGCCAGAUACCCUCUCCACUGGAUCAAAGGCAGCAGCUCGGUCAGGUGAUGUCAGCUGACACACCCAGAGCAAGUCUCCUACCCACCACG